rnacentral:rRNA from 1 species
UACGUAGGGGGCAAGCGUUGUCCGGAUUUACUGGGCGUAAAGAGCGUGUAGGCGGCCAAACAGGUCCGUUGUGAAAACUGGAGGCUCAACCUCCAGACGUCGACGGAAACCGUAUGGCUAGAGUCCGGAAGAGGAGAGUGGAAUUCCUGGUGUAGCGGUGAAAUGCGCAGAUAUCAGGAAGAACACCAAUGGCGAAGGCAGCUCUCUGGGACGGUAUUGACGCUGAGACGCGAAAGCGUGGGGAGCGAACAGG